rnacentral:sRNA from 1 species
AAGCAGCUCAGUUAUUAGUACAAUAACAGCUUCAGGCUGACCAUACUAAAUUUACUUUUAGUUCUUGGAAUACUCCUAUUUUUGUGAUUCAGAAAAUGUCUGGAAGACGGAGACUACUGCAGGACCUUAGGGCAGUCAACAAAACUGUGGAGGUGAUGGGCCCUCUACAGCCUGGACUACAAUCACCUACUGCUGUUCCUUUAUCCUAUCACUUAUUUGCACCCCAAGGAUCAUAAACGCUUUGCUUUUGG